rnacentral:rRNA from 1 species
UACGUAGGGGGCAAGCGUUGUUCGGAAUUACUGGGCGUAAAGGGCGCGUAGGCGGCACGGCAAGUCGGGAGUGAAAGCCCGGGGCUCAACCCUGGAGGGUCUUCCGAAACUGCCGAGCUAGAGUGCGGAAGAGGCAACCGGAAUUCCCAGUGUAGCGGUGAAAUGCGUAGAUAUUGGGAAGAACACCAGAGGCGAAGGCGGGUUGCUGGGCCGACACUGACGCUGAGGCGCGAAAGCCAGGGGAGCAAACGGG